UGGACUGUGUUGGUUGGCAGAUGGGCCUUC
rnacentral:sRNA from 1 species